ACCUAGACCGCAUAUAAGCACAAAUUACAGGGCAUGGAUAGUCACUGCAGCCCAUGUUGUACGAUUGUGGAUUGUUCACAGAUGCCAACAGUCCUCUCAUCCAGUUCAGUCUGUUGUACAAAUUUUACAGAGUACAGGCCAUAAUUAUUCACACAAUGCAAACUUCAUCCAAAAGUUUGCUUUCUUCUCUCAAAAUAUGCUGACAAAAGACCACCAAUCCACUCUAUGCCCUGAUCAGUGGCUAAAGGAUCAUCCUUGUGAUAUUUGGCUUCAUAGUUUUCAAUGGAUUAAAAGCUUGUUUAGAUGCACAUCAUUGUUUGAGGAUAACUCUGCCUGGAGUAGGAGUCUGAUGGUCAUGACCUACCCUAUCCUAGAAGGGUGACUCACCAUUUGCAAUGGAUAUUUUGAUAUCCAUUAAAUCUCUUGAUUGCAAAACUUUUUUUUGGAGAACAUACACACAAACAGGCACGCGUAGCAAGGCCCCUCAUGCACGUUUCAUUGAAUCAGGUAACUUGAGAGCUGCCAAGAUGGGGAUUUUAGGCAAUAUGAAGCGGGAUCAAAAUGUUUCACAGGAUUGUACCGAAGUGGUGGCGGCAGGGGAUAUGCUGGCAGCCGGAGUGGUGUGGGCCGUG
rnacentral:lncRNA from 1 species